rnacentral:lncRNA from 10 species
UUUUUCCUUUAUCUCCCUUGUGUAUUGAGGAGGUACAGUCCCUGGCUGUGGGUGGACAGCAGGGACCCGCUUGCCCUGGAGAGCGGACUCACCCUGGGUGACUCCUGGGUGCAGCUGUGAGCCCUGCCUGAGGCUUUUUCUGACCUCUAGGGAGAGCGGCUGAGGCUGGGGCUGGAGGUUGGGGCCGGCUCUGGAGGCUGGAGCGGCAGCUGGGCGGCGGGACGGGUGGCUCAGAAGUCACUGAAGCAUGGGUAGGUCUAACCUUGGGCCCUUGCUGUGGGGAGGGCGUGGAGACCAAGCACAUUCCUGAGGUUCUGCUAGGGCCCCGGCGGUGGACAGUGUCCUCUGAGGACCCAGGACCAAGCCAGGCUCCCUGCAGGAGGCCGGGAGCACUGUGGGUGCUGGGCAGGGGUGGGGAAUUUGCUGGGGCGCUGGGCCCAACAGGCCUGUGUUGGUUUCCCAGCCUCAGCGAGGUCGCGCAGGACGGGGCCCUGGUGCUGGUUUUCAGUGCCUGGGCCCUGGAACACGGUGUUCCCUUUCCAAGUCUGCAAAGCCUGUCUUAGGGGAGAGAAGAAGGUUCCUUCCAUGCGGGUGGGGACGGCUAACCAUGUCCAGACACUGAGAUGGCGCUCUGUGUGCUCAGCCCUCAGCCUGCACUGGCUUGGUGGCUUGGUGACCCGCCAGCAGGGUGGUGCUGUCUGUGGGCUCUGCUCAGGCUCCUCUCCGAGCCAGGAGGAUGCCUGCCUGCUUGGGCCUGGCACACAGGAUGUGCUUGGCAAGUGCUUCUGGAAUGGAUGGGUAGGUGGAUAAUGGAUGGAUGGAUGGAUGGAUGGAUAAUGAAUGGAUAGAUGGAUAAUGAAUGGAUGGAUGGAUAAUGAAUGGAUGGAUAAUGAAUGGGUGGGUGGAUGGAUGGGUAGAUGGAUAUGCUUGCUUGGCAAAUGAUUCUGGAAUGAAUGGAUGGAUAAUGAAUGGGUGGGUGGAUGGAUGGGUAGAUGGAUAUGCUUGCUUGGCAAAUGAUUCUGGAAUGAAUGGAUGGAUAAUGAAUGGAUGGAUAAUGAAUGGGUGGGUGGAUGGAUGGGUAGAUGGAUAUGCUUGCUUGGCAAAUGAUUCUGGAAUGAGUGGAUGGAUGAUGGAUAGAUAGAUGGAUAAUGAAUGGGUGGGUGGGUGGAUGGAUGGAUUGCUUGAUUGGCAAAUGCUUCUGGAAUGAAUGAGUGGAUA